ensembl:lncRNA
UGCAAUAAGCCAGAGUUUUUGGAGAACCUGGGAAUUUGGGGAAGGUUACUGGACAUGUUGGCGCUCUCUAGAUAACAUUCCUCCUCCCUGGCUGUCUCAGGCCUUGCUGUUUGAACUUUUUAGCACUUAAACACAGGUCUUCAGUUCGGUCAGUGGACAGUUGAUUUUGUUUAUUUUUGUUGAUAUUUUUUUUUUUUGUUUAUUUUAUUUCUCCUUUUUUCUCAUGCAUAAUAACAUUUACUCACUCACUGACUAUAUACCUGUAUAUCACACCGUCUGGUGUCAACCACUUAAUAAAAGUAACGAAAACUACAACGAGAUGUGUUUUUACAAUAUCGAAUGUAUCUGAGGUUUCUUUACUGCGUUCUACUUGUUUACAUUGAAAUGACGACCAUUUUCUAAGACACCUGAUCAUGCGGUUCUCCCUUAUCUCGACGGUCACUACUCAUGAGAUGAAAUGUAUUGGCUGUGCUGCUGUGUUAGGCUAGUCGUCGACAUGGCGUUACUAUACGUUGCAGUCCAAUAAUUGUUGAUGAGGAACUCCAGCUUUAAUGCACACUCACGGUUGAGGGGGAACUGGUCGUUAAGUAACACCCUAGGUCUACUGACAAUGGUUAAGUGGCGUAAUGCCAUCGGAGAGAUGCUGUAGGGAAGGCUGCUGUACUUCAUUUUGGGUUUUAAUGUGGAUGCUAAAAUCGGCAUGCAGUAGCGAGGAGCCUAUUUUGACCCCGCGUCUCAUACCCUAAAAUCUGUUACCUCGUUACCUGCGUUGAUCUGAAGCACCUAGGCGGGUGAAAGUCUUUUUAUUUUUUACCCGUCAAGUUUUUAAAUUAAAGUCUGUAGAGGCGGAAGAUGAAACGAAGUGAAUCAAGAGUGAGCAAUAGGCUGUGUUUGUAUGUGCCGCCUAAUUUCGAUCUUUUUUUUUUACAUUUUUUUUAUUUUACCAGUCAGAUCGGCUUUUAUGCCAGUUAUCCGGGAACAUUGAAAUUUGUCCACAUGUAUAAACACAGCCAGACCCAACAACUGCUGAGGACCUCCUCAGAAGAAACCGGACAUCUGUCAACAAAGUGUAAUGUGGAACAUACACGCACCCAUGCAACGGUCAGAACAUCACAAACAAAUUUAUGGUUGAAAAGUACAACAUUGUGUAGUUAAGCUCGUUAAAUCAGGAACUUUUUAGGGGGGACUUAAGUAUUCAGUUGAAUGACCC